ACCUGAGUGGUUCAGUGGUUGAGUGUCUGACUCGGUUUUGGCUCACGUUAUUAUCUCAGAAUUGUGGGUUCGAGCCCCACAUCGGGUG
rnacentral:tRNA from 1 species